rnacentral:rRNA from 1 species
CCCGAAGCUUAACUUCGGAACUGCAAUCAAAACUUUUUAGCUAGAGUAUGAUAGAGGAAAGCAGAAUUUCUAGUGUAGAGGUGAAAUUCGUAGAUAUUAGAAAGAAUACCAAUUGCGAAGGCAGCUUUCUGGAUCAUUACUGACACUGAGGAACGAAAGCAUGGGUAGCGAAGAGGAUUAGAUACCCUCGUAGUCCAUGCCGUAAACGAUGUGUGUUAGACGUUGGAAAUUAUUUUCAGUGUCGCAGCGAAAGCAUUAAACACACCGCCUGGGGAGUACGACCGCAAGGUUAAAACUCAAAUGAAUUGACGGGGACCCGCACAAGUAGUGGAGCAUGUGGUUUAAUUCGAAGAUACGCGCAGAACCUUACCAACACUUGACAUGUUCGUCGCGACUCUAAGAGAUUAGAGUUUUCGGUUCGGCCGGACGAAACACAGGUGCUGCAUGGCUGUCGUCAGCUCGUGUCGUGAGAUGUUGGGUUAAGUCCCGCAACGAGCGCAACCCUCACUUUUAGUUGCCAUCAUUUAGUUGGGCACUCUGAAAGAACUGCCAGUGAUAAGCUGGAGGAAGGUGGGGAUGACGUCAAGUCCUCAUGGCCCUUACGUGUUGGGCUACACACGUGCUACAAUGGCAUUUACAAUAGGAAGCAAGAUGGCGACGUCGAGCAAAUCCUAAAAAGAUGCCUCAGUUCGGAUUGUACUCUGCAACUCGAGUACAUGAAGCUGGAAUUACUAGUAAUCGCGGAUCAGCGCGCCGCGGUGAAUACGUUCCCGGGUCUUGUACACACCGCCCGUCACACCAUGGGAGUUGAUUCUACCUUAAGGCAAGGUUUAAAACCCUUGACUACGGUAUAGUCAGCGACUGGGGUGAAGUCGUAACAAGGUAACCG